rnacentral:rRNA from 1 species
CUGAGUGACACGUGGGCACCCUGCCCUUUGCACUGGGAUAGCCUCGGGAAACCGAGGUUAAUACCGGAUACUCCAUAUUUGUCGCACGGCGAAUAUAGGAAAGCUCCGGCGGCAAAGGAUGGGCCCGCGGCCUGUUAGCUAGUUGGUGGGGUAGUGGCCUACCAAGGCAAUGAUGGGUAGCCGGGUUGAGAGACCGACCGGCCAGAUUGGGACUGAGACACGGCCCAGACUCCUACGGGAGGCAGCAGGC